UACCCCCACACUGACCAGCCCACCUCAGCUCCUGGGGAGGAUCCCAGCUCCUAUUCCCUCAGGGAGGGGGCAGUCUGUGGGCCCAGAACCCAACCCAAGACAACAGCCCCCCUCCCAGUCUGAACCCACUGCUAAGUGUACCUUCCAAGCCCAAGCUGUGACCUUCCUCUCUCCAAAGCUCCAGAAAAGGAAUGAAAUCUGAACAUUGAGACGCUUUUCUGGCCCUAAACAAUCCUUCCAUUCUCUAGGCUCAAUGAUGGGUCUAUUCCCUCCUGUAAAUGGGUCUCGUAAUCUUCAACUUUUACCUUUGCUUCUAAGGGAUGAGGAGAAACAGUAAGGUUCGAGCGCAGGGCAGCUUGAGGACAUCCAGGCUGGAGGUGAGGGUAAGACGCAUGAAGGCCGGCUGGCAGAGAGACUGCCGUGGUAGUGGUAGGUCAUGCAAGCAGGAAGCUGAGCCCCUCAGAGGCUGGUGGUUCCUAGUGGCGGUGAUCUUGGCUGACGCCUCUGCUCUUCGAAGGCCGGAAGGACAUCACAGGCCUGUCUGAGGCCCCCGCAGUACCUCAGCCAGCAGACGGCAUAUGGGCUCUCGUGGCCACAUGAAGUCACACUAGUGAUUCGCUACCAAGAGAGGGGACUGUGAGAGCAGCUCUCCUUGCUAAGAGGAAGUCUCUGUCACUGACAUUCUUGAGAAAGCAUAUGGUGAUAAUAAAAAGCAAACCAA